rnacentral:rRNA from 1 species
CCUACGGGAGACAGCAGUGAGGAAUAUUGGUCAAUGGACGGGAGACUGAACCAGCCAAGCCGCGUGAGGGAUGAAGGUACAGAGUAUCGUAAACCUCUUUUGUCAGGGAACAAAGGCGGGUACGUGUCCCCGGAUGAGUGUACCUGAAGAAAAAGCAUCGGCUAACUCCGUGCCAGCAGCCGCGGUAAUACGGAGGAUGCGAGCGUUAUCCGGAUUUAUUGGGUUUAAAGGGUGCGCAGGCGGUCUGUUAAGUCAGCGGUAAAAGCCCGGGGUCAAACUCCGGCCCGCCGUUGAAACUGGCAGUCUCGAGUUGGGGAGAGGUAGGCGGAAUGCGCGGUGUAGCGGUGAAAUGCAUAGAUAUCGCGCAGAACUCCGAUUGCGAAGGCAGCAUGCCGGCUCCACACUGACGCUGAGGCACGAAAGCGUGGGUAUCGAACAGGAUUAGAUACCCUUGUAGUC